rnacentral:rRNA from 1 species
UACGUAGGGGGCAAGCGUUAUCCGGAUUUACUGGGUGUAAAGGGAGCGUAGACGGCGAUGCAAGUCUGAAGUGAAAGCCCGGGGCUCAACCCCGGGACUGCUUUGGAAACUGUAUGGCUGGAGUGCUGGAGAGGCAAGCGGAAUUCCUAGUGUAGCGGUGAAAUGCGUAGAUAUUAGGAAGAACCCCAGUGGCGAAGGCGGCUUGCUGGACAGUAACUGACGUUGAGGCUCGAAAGCGUGGGGAGCAAACAGG